GUACACUGCGCUGUACUUUCAGACCCCACAGCCCUGUGGUCUGACCCCAGGCAGAGUGGAAGCUACCUACAGGAUAAGGCAUUUGGGGCCAGUCUGAAGUACUCUAGAGCAGACACCAGAUUGAAUUCAUCUCUUCAAUCACCCACAAAGCCCAACGCAGGAUCCACCAUGAGAUAAGCCCUUGGAAACUCUUGGAAGUAGGCCCUAUAAAAACAGGCAGCAGCUGAAUUUGGCUUUAGGGCCACUGAACCCUGGACCAGUAUAUUCAUUCCCCUGAGAUGGAGGAUAGCAAGGCCUCUUAUCAUACAUUUUUCCAAGCAGAAUUACUUAAAAGCUCACGCUAAAUGCCUUCCUUUUCUUCUUGUCUCAAGAACAAGGAAGAUAUCUAAGAUCAUACCAUGCCUGCUCUCUAACUCGUCUUUCUAAAAUGGCUUUGAUUUCUUAAAUGUUUUCUCUUUCGUCAACCUUCUUCUGGGGCCUUCCUUCCUUCUCUGCUUUCCCUCUUUAACUCUCCUUUUUUAUUAGGCAAGUUUGUUCUCUCACUAAUAAAUUUUGCUUUUGCUACCAG
rnacentral:lncRNA from 10 species